CUCUACAGCAACUCUACAGCAAAGCUGUUCUUAUGAGUGCAUUGCCCAGUAAUAGAGCUGGCCUUCUGGAUGCCUAAUUACAAGGCUUUGGAUUAUCCACAGGGGUGAAGCCUGAAAGACCAGGAUCCCCUAAUGACAGAUCACUUCACCCAAACCUGACGUGCAGCCGCCUCUGAUAUGGCUUGUGGAAGCAUUUAACAGUAUGCAGCAAGAUAACUCAACUAAAUUAGGACAAGAAGUGGAAAAAGAAUAAUGCUGCCAACGGGAACUCCUGAGAGACCGUAAGUAGGCAGAUUGUAACUACCCAAAUUGUAUGCGGGCCAAGGAAUCAGGGAGAACUUGUCAGCAGUACAACAGCGACUGCAUUUUUGCAGUGUUUUGAAGGAACCAAAAUCUGGUCUAUCUCUGAUGCCUCGUACUAAACUACACAGUCCCCUUACAACUGGCUGGGCUGGGAAUAAAGACUCAUCUGUGCAGAGACCUGGGAGUCACCACAACAGCUUGUAGCGGCUACUGGGACGUAUCCUACGCACCGGAUGACCCAGCAAAAAGAAAACUGGGGGAAAAAAAAUUGAAUACAGAAGAGAAUAGAAGAGGAGAGGAGAACAAGAAAGAAACGAGACACUCCAUAUCCAACAGCAGGACAAGUUUCUUACUAGGCCAAAGGAGGAAUCAGGUUAUGACUGUAUCUCUAAUUUAAGACUAAUUGCUUCUUUUUUCUCUUUUUUUGUACACUCUGUGCCCUGUUCUCCCAAUCUUUUAAGAAGAACACCUACCAAUCCACAAGUAUUCUGUGAAGUAUUCCGUGAAUUAAUUACAAGGGAUUAAUCAAGUGGUUUAUCAAAUGGUUUGAAAUACUCCAAAGAGUAUUCUGAAGAGCUUCUGUUCCAUAGCAUAAGAGCAGCCUUCUACGCUGCAACUAGAAUGUCUAAGAAAGGAAGUCAUGUCUGAAAUAAGCAUCACAUGGAGCUGUGACCCUAAAUGAUUUAAAUACAAGUACCAACAAAGUUAAAAUCAUACCAGAGAUUUCUUUAAAACAAAACAGAACAAAACACACAGCA
rnacentral:lncRNA from 1 species